rnacentral:misc_RNA from 1 species
AGAAAAUUAAAUUGAAAAGUUCGAAAGUUUUUGCGGAACAUUUUAUGUUUUACUGACGAAAUAAAACAAUGAAAUGGGCUAUAGUUAGACUAGACUUUUGUCAUUUUUCUACAAUGAUCCAUUACCAUGUAAUUCACUUUCAAUUACAUUGUUACCUACAUGUACAUGAAGAGAACUAAGCACAGACAUUGGAGGGGGAAAACCUCCCAUACAGAGAACCUAUCUUCAUGUAGAGCCUGUAGAUUGUAGAGUUGAACUUCUGUUUUACUGGUCUAUUAUAAUUGGCAUACCUGUACACCACGUCAUACUGUAUAUCAUCCCUGCUGGGUUGAUUUCAAUGGCCUACCUAUAAACCUGUCAGAAGCUCAGGAUGUACCUGAUUGGUUUGACAGGGGGUAUAGCAAGUGGGAAGAGCACAGUAUCAAAGCGACUGGCUGAAUUUGGGUGCCCUAUAAUAGAUGCUGAUCUAAUAGCUAGAGAAGUUGUUGAACCAGGGAAACCAGCUUGGAGAAAGAUUAAAGAAACAUUUGGGGCAGAUGUAUUUUUCCCCGAUGGCCAGCUAGACAGAAAACAAUUGGGAGAAAUUGUAUUUAGUGAUGAGAAUAAGCGAAACCAACUUAAUACAAUCACACACAGAGAAAUCGCAAAAGUCAUGAUUCUAGCUAUACUAAAGUGCUUUGCUUCAGGAUGUCAGUUUGCAGUAUUAGAUGUGCCUCUUUUAUUUGAAACAAAAAGAUGGCUAUCAGUGGUUAGCAAAGUUGUUGUGGUAACAUGUGAUGACCAGACUCAGCUUGAUAGACUGAUGAACCGUGAUGACUUCAGUAUUGAAGAGGCUCAGAAGAGAAUAAAUGUUCAAAUGCCAUUGGCUGAAAAAUGCAAGCGUGCAACUCACAUCAUUGACAAUUCUAAAGACAUUAAAUACUUGAACUCCCAGGUCAAUGAUUUAGUGAAACAAUUUCAAAAGUCAUAUGAACAGUGGAAAAUACGAAGUGUGUUAUUGUCUGGUUUAGGGAUGUUCAUAUUCACAAGCAUUUAUCUGUAUAAUACAUUAGUUAAAUAAAAUGAAUAUGUACUAGAUAUUAAGAUUAAAUAAUCUGCAGUUUUGUAUCAUGAAUAUUAAUUUUUGCAAUGUCAGCCUAUUUUGGCCUGAUUGAAUAAAGGUCAAGUAAGGUCAUUCUCUUGUUUGAAAGCCCCAUUUAAAUCAGAUUUUGCUUCCCUUUCCAGAAUGCACCUUGAUGCAGAUGUUCAUAUUGUAAUAUGUAUAUAAGUGAUUUACCACUGUCACUAUAUAUCUUUGGAUAUACUAUAUAUCAAGUAUAAUCACACCAGAAUGGU